CCUACGGGUGGCAGCAGUGAGGAAUAUUGCACAAUGGGGGAAACCCUGAUGCAGCGACGUCGCGUGAGUGAAGAAGUAUCUCUGUACGUUAAGCUCUAUCAGCAGGGAAGAAAAUGACGGUACCUGACUAAGAAUCUCCGGCUAACUACGUUCCAGCAGCCGCGGUAAUACGUAGGGGGCAAGCGUUAUCCGGAUUUACUGGGUGUAAAGGGAGCGUAGACGGCAGAGCAAGUCAGGAGUGAAAUCCCAUGGCUUAACCAUGGAACUGCUUUGGAAACUGGGCAGCUAGAGUGUAGGAGAGGUAAGCGGAAUGCCUAGUGUAGCGGUGAAAUGCAUAGAUAUUAGGAGGAACACCGGUGGCGAAGGCGGCUUACUAAACUGUAACUGACGUUGAGGCUCGAAAGCGUGGGGAGCAAACAGGAUUAGAUACCCUAGUAGUC
rnacentral:rRNA from 1 species